GGGCAUUUAGUUUAGGGGUAUAAUAUUCGCUUCGCAUUAUGUGAUUGCGAAAGGUCCUGGGUUCAAUUCCCAGAAUGUCCA
rnacentral:tRNA from 1 species